rnacentral:rRNA from 1 species
GAUGAACGCUGGCGGCGUGCCUAAUACAUGCAAGUCGUACGGAAAGGCCCUUCGGGGUACUCGAGUGGCGGACGGCUGAGUAACGCGUGGGAACGUGCCCCAAAGUGAGGGAUAACGCACCGAAAGGUGUGCUAAUACCGCAUAUGGUCUUCGGAUUAAAGCUUUGGCGCUUUGGGAGCGGCCCGCGUACGAUUAGAUAGUUGGUGAGGUAAUGGCUCACCAAGUCGACGAUCGUUAGCUGGUCUGAGGGGAUGAUCAGCCAGACUGGGACUGAGACACGGCCGAGACUCCUACGGGAGGCAGCAGUAAGGAAUCUUUCACAAUGGGGGCAACCCUGAUGGAGCAACGCCGCGUGCAGGAUGAAGGUUUUCGGAGCGUAAACUGCUUUUAUAAGUGAAGAAUAUGACGGUAACUUACGAAUAAGGAUCGGCUAACUACGUGCCAGCAGCAGCCGCCGUAA